rnacentral:rRNA from 1 species
CCUACGGGUCGCAGCAGUGGGGAAUAUUGCACAAUGGGGGAAACCCUGAUGCAGCAACGCCGCGUGAAGGAAGACGGUUUUCGGAUUGUAAACUUCUGUUCUUAGUGAAGAAUAAUGACGGUAGCUAAGGAGCAAGCAACGGCUAACUACGUGCCAGCAGCCGCGGUAAUACGUAGGUGGCAAGCGUUGUCCGGAAUUACUGGGUGGAAAGGGCGCGGAGGCGGGAAGCCAAGUCAGCUGUGAAAACUACGGGCUUAACUUGUAGACUGCAGUUGAAACUGGUUUUAGUGAGUGAAGUAGAGGUUGGCGGAAUUCCGAGUGUAGCGGUGAAAUGCGUAGAUAUUCGGAGGAACACCGGUGCGAAGGCGGCCAACUGGGCUUUAACUGACGCUGAGGCUCGAAAGUGUGGGGAGCAAACAGGAUUAGAUACCCGAGUAGUC